AUUCUGGAUGUAAAUUUCUUUUUUGUGUCCACAGAGUUGUCAGGGGAGUGUCCAUUGGCAGCACCUGCCUCCUGAGUGUCUCCCAGGCCAUCACCAUCAGCCCCAGGAGCUCAGGUGGGCAGAGCUUAAAGGGAACGCCCCCAAGCACGCUGGCUCCUGUGUGUUCCUCAGCUGGCUCCUCCCUGGUCAAUAUCAUUGUUCUCAUGCACGUGACCGGCAAGUGGAGCAACAAAAAUACCACGAAGACAAAAGAUCUGGGAUACUGUUCUGCUGCUGAUCACGAGGGCACCAGAGAGUCGCUGACGCGGCACUGCUGUCCUUCCCUGAUGUGAUCUGCCUGGGGCUCAUGCUCUGGGGCAGCAGCUCCAUCGUUUGCAUCCUGCACAGGCACAAGCGGCGGGUCCAGCACAUUCAUAGGACCAGCGUGUCCCCCACAUCCUCCCCUGAGUCCGGAGCUACCAAAACCAUCCUCCUGGAGCAGGAAAGGACAAGGAGUCCCCGAAGCUGACACUGAGUUCAUGGGGUUGAGCUGACAGCGGCCAACAGGCUGUGGUAAAC
rnacentral:lncRNA from 1 species